UUCAUUCACAACCUGAUCAUUGCCAAAAGAAGCUUAGGCAAAUAUUACUGUCUUAUGAAUUGUCAGUGGACUCAAUUAAUGAUCCCUUUCGAAGACAGAGGUUAAUGAGUGCAGCCACUCUUAUUACAGAUAAUUUGGAAUUGCAGGAGUCAAAACUGAAAUGUCCUUCAUUUUCAAAACGUUUCGCUCAAAGGUAUCUAAUUUGGAAUUGCUGCCCAUUCUGGCUGGUAGUCAAA